rnacentral:rRNA from 1 species
AUUGAACGCUGGCGGCAUGCCUUACACAUGCAUGUCGAACGGUAACAGGUUAAGCUGACGAGUGGCGAACGGGUGAGUAAUGUAUCGGAACGUGCCCAGUCGUGGGAGAUAACUACUCGAAAGAGUGGCUAAUACCGCAUACGACCUGAGGGUGAAAGCGGGGGACCGUAAGGCCUCGCGCGAUUGGAGCGGCCGAUAUCAGAUUAGCUAGUUGGUGGGGUAAAAGCCCACCAAGGCGACGAUCUGUAUCUGGUCUGAGAGGACGACCAGCCACACCGGGACUGAGACACGACCCAGACUCCUACGGGAGGCAGCAGUGGGUAAUUUUGGGCAAUGGACGCUAGUCUGAUCCAGCCAUGCCGCGUGCGGGAAGAAGGCCUUCGGGUUGUAAACCGCUUUUGUCAGGGAAGAAACGAGUUUCUCUAAUACAGAGACUUAAUGACGGUACCUGAAGAAUAAGCACCGGCUAACUACGUGCCAGCCGCCGCCGUAACAC